GAAAUGAACAGUGGCAGAAAGGUUAGUCACCUACCUGCCAACCUGCUUCAUCUUUUAGGUUUAUAACACCUGUCUUCCUAGAUGACAGGCGGUUUUUACAAAACCGCACACCCCCGCUUAAAACCCAAAACCACCUAUCUACCCUUCAUUUUUUCGCAUACAAACCCUAGAAAGAAGGGUGAGAGAGAUAUAUACAGCUUUCUGCAGAUAGAAACAGAGUUUGGGAGGCAGAAUCGUGAUGGAGUGGUGGCUGACCACCGCCACCUUUGGCGGCACCACCCGAUUCCGGUGCGUCAGCGACCCCGACUAACGGUAUGAUGGCUGAGCGUUUUAGAGAGAGAGAGAGAGAGAGAGAGAGGUUGUGUAGACGACGACCUUGACGACGGUUAGCAUUCCGACCAAAUCAGAACAGAUUCCGGUAAGUGUUCCAUAGAUGGUACGGCUAGGGUUCUAGGGAUCAGUGCCGACAAGGAGAAUCAGUUGAUGAUCCGGUUAGCAAAUUAAAGCCUGUACGGGAGUUCUUCAAGUGAAUCGGCAACUCUCCAGGUGGACUCUACAUAUAUGAAAUAGUGACGAGGAGUAGGACACCGUUGGAAUUGGGGGCUGGUUAGGUGAAUUUGAUUUAUGGGUUGACUCCUACACAAAAUGUAAAAAUAAAGCUUAACAGAAUGGUCCUUUGCUAACACGUCUUCAACACCUGAUUGCCCACACCGCCGUAUAGUGGACGAAGAAGAGAAUGAGGAGGUUGAAAAGGAAACGUUGAAACUUUGGGAAGUUCACCUUGGUGGAAAGGUCAACGGAGUAGUUGAAACCUACAUAGGUGAUGACACGUAGGUGAUGUCUAAGCGGUUCAGAACCUAUUUCAACGUUUCUCACCCUUAGAUAUCUAACAAUAUUGAUCCAGAAGAAUGUACUUGGGAUUAUGGGAUGAAUACAUUCGACUUGCGUGCAUGGAAAAGGACGGAUAUCAGAGAAAAAUAUCACACGUGGCUGAAAGAGGUGACACAAUAAUUGAAAAGUUGGAAUCACGGUGACCCAAAUUGAUGAGGCUGCUUUGAAGUGAAGGAUUGCCACUUAGGAAGGCUGAGCAUGCAUUCUACUUGGACUGGGCUGUCCACUCUUUCAGAAUCAACAAUGUGGGUGUUGCCGACACCACCCAGGUUACUGAAGAUAGAUCCAAACUUCCAACUGCAUGCUUUAAUCUAGAGAGAGAGAUGGGAGAAGCUCCGUCACCAUGGCUGGCAGAGAGAGUGAGGGCUGGUAGAAGCCGGGCCGCCCCUGGUGGCAGAGCCACGACGGUGACCAGUUUCUUUAAAUCUCAUAAAGUGUAGGGGUGACCGGCACCGUCCCUGGUUUAAUAACUUGAAGAUGAUAUGUCAAAUGGGAUUACAUUGACUCAAUAAAAAACAAGCAAAUGAGAAUCCCUUUUGGGAAUCCAGCACUUUUGACACCAUACCGAAGGCUGCGUACCUUCUUUUUGGGAUAGAAUGCCUUCUUACUUCAUUUAAUUUAGGCAUUUAAUUUUGUUAUAGUGGAAUAUACAUACAACUUAAUCGAAUUGAUUUCUUUCGAACAAUUGUUUUCGAUCGAUAUAAAUAUCAUGUGUUGAUA